rnacentral:pre_miRNA from 1 species
UUCCUCCAGCACCUUCCACCCCCAGUGCCAGCUCAAGCCCACAGGCACAAGCACCUCAGCUGUGGGCUUGAGCUGGCACUGGGGGUCGAAGGUACUGGAGG